UGCCCCAGCCCCUCCCUCCCGACGCCCCACCUCUUGCUGUCCCCCCCCAGCUCGUGGCCCGAGCGGGUGGCUCUGCAGAGAAACAGCCCCUGAGCACCGGGAGCUCCAGUCGAGCCCGGGUUCCGUUGGCCCUGUCUUGCAGACGCCCCGGACGAGCGAUGCUCGCUACGUAGCCCUUUGAGGGCUUCCAGAGACCCCCCCUCGGUCCUGCGCUGCAGACGGGGGGCUGCCCUCUGCCUGUGACCUCUGUGUCUCCCGAAGGGGCAGACCCCCCACUUCUGGGGAGGAGACACAGCAGGUGAAUCCAGACCAAGUGGCCAGUCAGGAGUUUGGCUUCUCUGGAAGAAAAAGAUCCUGCUUUUGGUGUUACUGAGCCACAGGAUCUUGUCGAAAGAAGUUCUGAAUCCCUGCUUUCCAUCCCCUGACUGUGGGGAUGGCAGCUGACCCUCUGCCUGGUGGUCCUCAGUUAUGUGUUCCAUUCCAAAUCCUCUCCUUCCUAAGCAGAUGCUGCCCAUGGCUGCUUUCCCCCAGACCCCUGGCCUCAGUGAAGCUUUAUACCCCACCUUGAGCCAGAAAUUCUAAGCAGCAGCUGCACAGACCCAGAAAGCUGGGACUGUUUUAUUCAUUCCUUGUCUCUGUGCCUACCCCCCUGCAGGAGCUGAGUCUGAUUUCCUGCCCGAGUGGCACAAAACAGAAAUUCAAACUAAUGUGAAACCAGCCUCAUAGUUCCAGGCUCUCAGAACAAAACGGGAGAAUGGGUUGAGUUUGCAUAAUCGGCAGGGGGAGUUUACUAGUUAACCCAGGUGAAGAGGUGGGACUGGGAAGGGAAGGACUGAGGUCAAAGGUCAGACCAACUGAAACUCUAAGAAAAGCCUGCUCAGUGAAGAAUUUGAGGGAAUCGGCCUACUCAUUUUCCGAGCCCCCUUAGGCAAGGCCGUGUUAAUGAAAUCAGCUGAAUGGAAGAAGGAAAGUAUGGGGUCUCAGCUAAUUGAUAAACUUGAUAAUUAGAUCACAGCACUGAGCCCUUCAAAAAUUGAUUGGGCUGCAACUGAUAAUACUGAUAUCUUGCCUAAGAAUCUCAGUGUUCCAUCCAGGUUUAGAGUUAAAGGUUAAACAGUAUUUAUUCAAGUCCACAGUAUUACGGUCCCUAGUAUUACGUGGCACAGUUUUGCCUGUGAAGUUUAUAAUCAGGACAGGCACCCCCACCCCCGGUCAUAUCUAUUUCCUUUUGUACCCAGAAGCACCCAUAUUAUAAAUUUUCUGGUUUUAAUGUUGGAAAUUUACAACUGAAUAAAAGUGUUUCUUGCUUUUCUCCA